AGGUGGCGCACGGGUGCGUAACGCGUACACAAUCUACCUCUAAGCGGGGGACACCUCCUGGAAACGGGGAUUAAUACCGCAUAAUAUGCCGAGGUCGCAUGACUUUGGUAUUAAAGCAGCAAUGCACUUAGAGAUGAGUGUGCGUCCCAUUAGGUAGUUGGUGAGGUAACGGCUCACCAAGCCUAUGAUGGGUAGCCGGUCUGAGAGGAUGGUCGGCCACACGGGCACUGAGACACGGGCCCGACUCCUACGGGAGGCAGCAGUAAGGAAUAUUGGUCAAUGGUGGAAACACUGAACCAGCCAUGCCGCGUGGAGGAAUAAGGUCCUACGGAUUGUAAACUCCUUUUGACGAGGAAGAAAGUGUUAGAUUUAUCUAAUUUUGACGGUACUCGUAGAAUAAGCACCGGCUAACUCCGUG
rnacentral:rRNA from 1 species